rnacentral:lncRNA from 1 species
AGCAGCGCUCGCCGCUCCCCCACCGCGGCCCCGCAGUGACCCCAGCCCGGGGCUGCCGAGAGGCAGCAAAAUGCUGGGUUUAGAAGACUGCGAGCCAGUUUCCUGCAUACUACUAUAAUUAAUUUGCGUGCGGAGAUCAAAGAUCCGAGGGUGAAGGAAAUAAUUGAUUCUGCCAGAAAACGCUUCCCUGGCGCAGCCCACGGCAGGUAAGCUGCUGCGUGGAACUAUUUUUGACGGAACAAAAGCCUGAGCAAACACCUGACGUCAGGGAGCAGCGUUCCCGGGGGAG